ACGGCGAGUGAGCGGUAAAAGCUCAAAUUUGAAAUCUGGUACUUUCAGUGCCCGAGUUGUAAUUUGUAGAAUUUGUCUUUGAUUAGGUCCUUGUCUAUGUUCCUUGGAACAGGACGUCAUAGAGGGUGAGAAUCCCGUUUGGCGAGGAUACCUUUUCUCUGUAAGACUUUUUCGAAGAGUCGAGUUGUUUGGGAAUGCAGCUCAAAGUGGGUGGUAAAUUCCAUCUAAAGCUAAAUAUUGGCGAGAGACCGAUAGCGAACAAGUACAGUGAUGGAAAGAUGAAAAGAACUUUGAAAAGAGAGUGAAAAAGUACGUGAAAUUGUUGAAAGGGAAGGGCAUUUGAUCAGACAUGGUGUUUUUUGCAUGCACUCGCCUCUCGUGGGCUUGGGCCUCUCAAAAAUUUCACUGGGCCAACAUCAAUUCUGGCAGCAGGAUAAAUCAUUAAGAAUGUAGCUACUUCGGUAGUGUUAUAGCUUUUUGGAAUACUGUUAGCCGGGAUUGAGGACUGCGCUUCGGCAAGGAUGUUGGCAUAAUGGUUAAAUGCCGCCCGUC
rnacentral:rRNA from 1 species